rnacentral:lncRNA from 1 species
GACAGAUUUGGGGUAGCAAGAAGUCCUGUGCUCUGCUCUGAGGCCUGCCUUCAGGAGGCAGGACUGUUGGGACUUGGACUGGGAUACAAGGAAGGCCCAUGGCUGGGGAGGAUGGAUGUUGAGAAGUCUAUGCUGCUGGUCACCACUCACUGCUCCUUAAGCAUCUCUAAGACGCCAGGCUGGAUGUGGAGAGGAGUGGAGGGGUUGUAGACAGCAGCCCCCAGCCCUCUUUGGCACUUGCCACUGUGCGGCACUGUGGGACCCCAGCCUGUAAAUGAUGCCCGAUGCCAGUCCUCCUCAGCUUGGACGGUGGGGGGACCCGGGUGGGGUCAUGACAGGACACCACUGCCUGGGGGUGAGAAUGGAGGAGGCCCAGCUGUCAGCUGGAACCCAUCAGAAGCCGAACCAAGCCCUGGCAGCUGGUAAGAAGGGGAGGGCAGGCUAAUAAGAAAGGUGCCCUUAGCACUGUGUUUCUCAAGCCCGCUCUUAACCCUUCCUGUGCCAACUCAAGGCAUGGACUCAUGUUUUCCCAUAGAGGCAAGUAGCUCCGUGUCUCUAUCAGUCCGAGUUGGCCAGUGUUGGGUGGGGCUGACAACAGAGUGACCAUGCCCCUGCCUCAGGGAACCUUAAUCUGAGGGGAGAGGAAAGGUGCCUCAAACUACUAGGGGUUACUAGCUCGUCUUGAGAGGGGUCCUAGUCUUUGGGGGAAAUAUAGCUCAUCUAGACUGAGGAAGGUUCUGUCUGCCCUCAGCCUGAGGGGUGCACUGCAGGAGCCCCAGUCAAAGGGCCAGGUCCGAGAGUCUCUGGGGCAGACAUACAUGAGGUUCUGUCUCAAAGUGAGAAACCAGCAUCAAUCAUGUCAUCCCUCUGUGAUGUCUUGAAGAAUCAUCAACUAGAACACAGGUAUAGUAUUGAUCUGAGAACCCUAGGAAGCAUGUCUCUGGACCCAGGGUGCUGUCACUCGGGGACCGUUUUCUCCAGGAUGUCUUCCUGAGGUCAGCUGCCUUCCAAUGCUGCCUGCCUUUCUGAGACCCUUUGUGGUCCCCAAACAACUCAGCAAAUGGCUGAUUUUCAAUAGCUCUUUCCAACUCCUUCUUUGGUGUUCAUGUAACUUAUAUAACUCACGCCUUUCAAUGAACAAUUUAGCGUGGUGAGCAAGCACACAAAGGAAACGUGUCUACGUGCUGUAGGCCCCUCUUCAGCCGCCUGGUUUAGAUGGCCCUGAUUUAUUUUCCACAGUUAGCGCCUGGCCUUCUCCCAACUUCUCAGCACUCCUCAACUGGCCUGUUGUUGGCUGCCAGAGGCCAGAGCAAGCUGCCUGCAGGUCCCCUUUCUCCACUGCUGCAUGGUUCCAGCGUUCAGAACUCCAGGCUACAGGUUGUGUGAGGCCAAUAUCAAGCUGUUUCUGAGGGAACAGCUGGGCCCAGGCCCAGGCUCAGAAAAAUGGCUCAGGGAUACGCUGCCACCUUUGUCAACCCCUGCUGUGUUCUCUGGCUUUAGGCAAGUCAUUCCAACACAUGGGCCUUAGUUUCCUCAUUUGCUAGAGCCUGAGACCCGGGGACCCCUUGCACCCAAGGUUUUCUGCUUCUGACUGUUUUCUCUGUCUACACUGCCCUGGGUGCUUCAGACUACAUGCCAUGACAAUGGGCAGAGUAAUCACUAAAGUGCCCAUCUGGUUAGCAGGGCUUUCUGGGCAGUCCUGUGUUGCUGGCCAAAGUGUGGCUUGUCCCAUUUCCACCCCUAGAAAGGCACUGCAGUGUUUGAGGAUGCCUGUGGAGUCAUUUGUUCACACUUCCUGGGACCUUGGAGCUGGCUGCAGGGCCAUGUCCACAAGGGGUUGCUGGCACAGCUGUGAACGCUGCAGCCCAUCAUCAUAUUGACUAAGUUCUUACUCUCCAGGGCCUGGGCUGGGGACUGACAGAGAUGAACAAGUGGACGUGGCACAGUUUUUGGUGGCCUUUGAGGACAUGCACAUGGCCUCCAUGGGUAGUUGACCAGAGUUCUCCCCGGGAAGAAUAAGAUUCCUUUCGACUCUGCUGAGGAAGGAAGCCUCAUAGGAGAGAUGGUGCCAUAGUGAGGUCUUGAAGGAUGAUGGUAAACUCAAUAGGUAGUGAUGGGAGAAGGCCUGGAGAGCCUUCAUCCAACAGCUGAUGGAAGCAGAAGCAGACACCCACAGCUAAACACUGAACUGAACUGGAACCCAGUUGCAGAGAGGGAGGAGUGAUGAGCAAAGAGGUCAAGACCAGGCUGGUGAAACCCACAGAAACAGCUGACCUGAACAAGGGGGAGCUCAUGAACCCCAGACUGAUAGCUGGGAAACCAGCAUAGGACUAAUCCAGAUUCCAUGAACAUGGUUAUCAUUCAGGAGGCCUCAGAAAUCUAUGGGUCCUCUGGUAGUAGAUCAGUAUUUAUCCCUAGCAUACGAAUGAGUUUUGGGAACCCAUUCCACAUAGUGGGAUACUCUCUCAGCCUAGACACAGGGGGGAGGACCCAGGCCCUAUCCCAAAGGAUAUGACAGACUCUGAAGAGCCUCCAUGGAAGGCCUCACCCUCCCUCAGGAGCAGAAAGGGUAUGGGAUAGGGAGUUAGUGGGGGGCAGGGGAGGAGGAGAGGGAGAGGGAACUG